AACGAACGCUGGCGGCAGGCCUAACACAUGCAAGUCGAGCGAACCCUUCGGGGUUAGCGGCGGACGGGUUAGUAACGCGUGGGAAUAUACCCUUUGGUACGGAAUAGCCUCGGGAAACUGAGAGUAAUACCGUAUGUGCCCUUCGGGGAAGAUUUAUCGCCAAAGGAUUAGCCCGCGUUGGAUUAGAUAGUUGGUGGGGUAAUGGCCUACCAAGUCUACGAUCCAUAGCUGGUUUGAGAGGAUGAUCAGCAACACUGGGACUGAGACACGGCCCAGACUCCUACGGGAGGCAGCAGUGGGGAAUCUUAGACAAUGGGCGCAAGCCUGAUCUAGCCAUGCCGCGUGGACGAUGAAGGCCUUAGGGUUGUAAAGUCCUUUCAGAUGGGAAGAUAAUGACGGUACCAUCAGAAGAAGCCCGGCUAACUCCGUG
rnacentral:rRNA from 1 species